ensembl:lncRNA
AUGGGGCCGCCUCCGACUCCAGCCCCAGUGCAGCAGCCGCAGCCGCCGCGCACGGGGAGAGCAGCAGCGCCACGGACCGGGAAGUUCCGGACGCUUGCUCCUACUUUUUCUUUACCUAUUAAAGAAAAGAGUAAAGACCGUUCGGCCGAACGGCAGUACAUGGUACCUAAAGAGCGAUAUUCCCCAGGCCACCUGCGUCCUACGCUUGUGGUGCGAUCCUCUAUGUUGCCUCUUUCCCCCUCUCAGCCCGGUGGCUGUAGGGUGGCGGUCGGACGGCGUGUUCACAUGGCCUCUGGUUCACCUGCUUCUAAGAAGCGGCGUCCCUUGGAGCCUCGUGGACGGAUCAGAGACUCGUUGCACGGUCUCCUGGUUCCCCACAUUAUAGGUGAGGAGAUGGGUCCGCGCGCUGUGGCUACAGCCUGCGGACAGCGCAUGCGCACAGGUGCUGCGGCCGGACGGCUCGCUCCCUGUUCAGCGGGCACGAGCGCGACGUCUAGACAGCUCGUUGUUUUUACAACUGCUAGUUGUGGUACGUCUCCUACGCUCGCUGAGCCUCCUCCCUUUCGUGGGAAGCCCCCCUUGGUUCACACGCAGUGUGAAGGCGGUAGGGGCAGAGGAAUACGGGUUAUUCCUGGACGGUCUUCCUCAGCUGUCGGCUCGCCCUCUCUCCAACCGCUAUGCGUGUUGGCAAGAGCGGUGCGUUCUGCCAUCGUGGUUGGACACCACGUUGAGAUGGGGCCAUCCCAUACAGUUCAAGCGUCGUCCCCCACCCUUUAUGGGGUUGGUGGAGACCACGCUACGGGACCCGGCUGCGAGCACGGCUCUGGCAGCAGAGGUGGCACGUCUCUUGGUAAAGGGGGCCAUCACUGUCGUUCCCCCCCACGAGUCUCACCUAGGUUUUUAUUCCCGCUACUUCCUGGUUUCCAAGAAGUCAGGGGAAAUGAGACCUAUUCUGGAUCUUCGCGUGUUCAACAGAUUCGUUGCCACGAGGAAGUUCAGAAUGCUCACGGUCGGAGCAUUGUUCCGGUGUGUGAGAGAGGACGAUUGGUUCACAUCCCUGGAUCUCAAGGAUGCUUACUUCCACGUCCCUGUUCGGCAGGCGCACAGGAAGUUUCUCCGCUUUGCCUUUAUGGGGAUGGCGUACGAGUACCAGUGUCUGCCGUUCGGCUAUUCCCUGUUUCCGCCCACCUUCUCGAAGUGUGUGGAGACGGCGUUGGAACCGCUCAGACGUCAGGGAAAGAGGAUUCUCCUCUACCUAGACGAUCUGCUUAUUCUGAGCAACUCAGAAGAGACCGCGAGAAGGGACACCAUGUUGGUGAUAAACCAUCUCUCCUUCCUGGGUUUUGCCAUCAACUGGGAGAAGAGCUCCCCGCUCCCCAGCCGGCAGACAGUCUACUUGGGGCUUUGCCUAGACUCAGCCACCAUGACUGCGAUGCUUUCGCCUCCUCGGCGAGACGCCAUCCUGUCGGCGCUCUCCCGUUUUCACGUUCGCAGAAACGUGACCGCACUGUCCACCAUGCGCCUGUUGGGGCUGAUGGCAGCUGCCCACCCCGUGGUCCCCCUGGGUCUGCUUUUUAUGCGCAGACUCUAGCGGUGGUUUGCUCGCCAACGGUUGGACCCCAGGCGACACAAGCUCAGGGUGCUCCUCGUCCCCCGUUCGGUGUCGCCAGACCUGGAAUAUUGGAAAGGACCCUCCGCCCUUCUCAAGGGUGUUCCACUGGGCAGGGUGGCGUCCUACGUAGUGGUCUUCACGGACGCCUUGUUGACGGGUUGGGGAGGAACGUGCCUCUCUCACUCGGUCGGAGACGAGUGGCGCACGCCCCCUACAGCACACAUAAAUGUGUUGGAGCUCGACGCUGUGAGGAAAGUGCUGUUGCAUUUCUUUCACCUGGUGCGCGGCCGCCACGUUCUGAUCAGGACAGACAACGUGUCGGCGGCGGCGUACAUCAACAGACAGGGGGGAGUCCGCUCCCCUGCUCUCCACCGAAAGGCGGUCGAGCUCUGGCUUUGGGCUCAUCAGUAUCUCCGCAGUCUGAGAGCCCUGCAUAUCGCGGGCGCCCAGAACUUUGGGGCGGACCUCAUGUCUCGAGGCGGUCCCCGCCGAGACGAGUGGUGGUUACAUCCCGACAUUGUCAGACUGAUCUGGCAGAGGUUCGGGACAGCGCAGGUGGACCUCUUCGCGUCCCGGGAGAACACGCACUGCAGGUGGUGGUUCUCCCUCAGCCCUCGGGAUCUUCCCCCGUUGGGGGUAGAUGCGUUGGCACACACACCUUGGCCGCGGGCUCUCUUGUAUGCGUUUCCCCCGCUCCAGCUGAUCCUUCCUCUUCUGGAACGGGUCAGACAGGAGAGACUGUCCCUGAUAUUAGUGGCCCCGGAGAACCGUUCAGCUCUGUGGUUUCCAGAGCUUGCCGCGCUCUCGCGGUCGGCGCCUUGGCCAGUACCAUUCAGGCCGGAUGCGCUUUCACAGGCCCACGGGACGGUGCACCACCCGCCCGAUGUCUCGGGACGGCUGUUGGUUUGGCUCCUGAGAGGUUGAUCCUGCAGGGCAAAGGUUUGCCUGAGACGGUUAUCAACACUAUUCAGAGUGCUCGUGCGCCUUCUACUUCUUCCCUCUAUGCGGCGAAGUGGUGCGCCUUCUCUAAUUGGUGUGAGACGAACCACGCUGUCCCAUCUCAAUGCGAGGUGGGAAGCGUGCUUUCGUUUCUGCAAAACUUAUUGGAAAAAGGUUUGGCCUUCUCCACUAUCAAGGUCUAUGCGGCAGCCGUUUCGGCUGGCCAUGCAGGCUGUGAUCAGCCAUCCACUGGUCAAGAGAUUCUUGCGUGGGGCUAG